AGUAGUCCGAGUGCACGAGGAGUGUGGAUGUGUCGCUCUGCUUCUUCACGACAAAGGUGGGAAGGUGGGGAGUGGAGCCAUGAACUUGCCUCACCCCCCUCUGCCCGUGGCGAGUUGCAAGUGCGAUACAUCCUCAGACCUCUGCAGGCAGCCCUGUGAGUACAUUACCUUCAUUUAGAAAGAAAAUUUGAGGAAUGACAACAAAAACUAAGUCAGUGCCACUUUAAUGCUGCCUUCUCUAGCUGAACCUGCCCAAAAGAGGGUAGAAGUAGGUAGUUCAGCAUAGCCUGUCUGUGAUUUGUGCUGUGUGAUCCUGAGAAAAUUCUGCCUUGAUCUGGAAAAUACAUACUCUCUUCCCACCCUCUUUUCCUCCAUCCACUCUCCCUACAUCCCUCAUCCCCUAAAACCUGCUUUUGAGAUUGCCUUUGUGAAGCUAUUUGGACAUGGUCCUGGUCAACCUCUGUAAGUGGCUGUGCUUCAGAAGUGGGGUUGGAUGAGAUAACCUGCAGAGGUCCCUUGCAAUUUAUAGUAUUCCAUAAUUUGUGGUUCUUUGCAACACUAUGAGAUUAGGGUAACGUUAAUGUAAAGAUAACAGCAAUAUAUUUGGUGUUCCUCUUCUGGGAGCCCUCCUUGGUGCCUGGAUUUUUGGAUCACAAGUCUUCAAAGCAAGGGCUGUCCCACUGGUCUCUUUGCUUCUGUGCUUGCCUUUUUUAGUGCCGCGCUGCAGAGAGCUUGUACUUAUAUAAAUCUGAUAACAGUAGCAUAACCCUACCCACAGGAUUAGCUGUGCUCAUUUAAGGUGAGACAGCAUAUGAAUUCAUCCACAGCUAGUUACUUCAGUAGUUGCUUUUAAUCCAUAAUAAUAUAUGCCUUUUAUGUUGUGUGGCAACGUUACCAGCUUGCACAAGAUGGCCACAUUUUCCUCUGUAAAAAUGUGGUAAACGAGGUGGAUAUGUAUGACAGGUCUUGCAAGGUCUUGUGGUACUGAAAACCACAACCUUAGUGGAUUCCGUGGCUACUACCUAAUCUUGGAGUUGCCUAAAAUCCUUCAUCAUCACCCUGCUGACUUCUAAGGAGAGGAAUUUGAUGUUGUGCCUAUGGGUAUUCCCAGUCUGAGCAGCUGUCUUAUGCCUCCCUUCUGUGCCCCAUCUGGACCCAGAAAUGCAGUGUCCCUAGGACUUGGGAAGGUCACAGUAUGGUGGAAACAUUCUGCUUACUACUGCCGUGAUCAUAUUCUUUAUAAAGCAAAAAGUUACGUGGACUGGAUUAUGAAGGGCUGGAACUGAAUAUGCUUGGCUCUGAUGGGAAAGAAAAAUCCUCUGAAGAUUAUGAUCUAACAAUCUAUUUUAUAAGCAAUUUACUCUGAAGUUUUUUUGUUGUUUGAAAACUAACCAACAAACACCUUGUGACUGCAUCUAAAAGAGAAAAGACAUCAUGUUGAAGCUAAACUUUCUAAUGCAACUGAAAUGCAGAAGCAGUAAUUACCUAAACAACUAAAGCGUAACAAGCAGAACAAAAUGAAAUAGAAAUCCGAUGCCCCCUCAAGUCCUCCUAAACAGACAAGCAAUUUGAUAAGGAGGGCCCUUUAAAAACAUUUGCCAAGCCUCAGGAAGAAUAAAUGAAUGGAAUUUGAAGUUAGUGAAGUUCAAACGGGAAGUAAAUAACACAUUUUUAACAUGACAGCUGAAUAACCACUGAAGCAAAUUCCUAAUAUUUGUGGUCAGUUCUUCAUAUUUGAAAGCUUCAUAAUGGUGUUUAUGAACUUAGAGGACAAGGUGCAGGAAUUUAAAGUCUAACCUCUAAUGUGACUGACAUUAGGCAGGAUGACAUUAGCGAGAAUGUUUAUCAAACUGCUUCCAUCUGGGCUUAAAAUAUCAUAAAUAUAAACUGCAAAAUCACAUGAACACUUGGAAUUCAAAAACUAACUGUUAGAAAAGGGAUAUAUAAGCCCCAUGAUAUUCAAUUCCCUUAGGGUAAUUAGGAAAGCAGACCGAGCUACAUAUCCUACUGAGUUUUAUGAGCAAGUAUAUCUUGGAGUUGUAUGAGCUUGAACUUGAAAUAAACUUUCAGCUAAUAACUCGGGGCUUCAGAUUAAAAGAGCUUUUCAAUAGAGAUUUAUCUUUGCUGAAAUAAUACUGAAGUUUCUUAACAAAAGGAAUGAGACAAGUGAAUGUCUGAGCAAUUAUUUGGCAUUUCUAAUGAGGAGAUGCCAAUUGUAAAAGAUAUAGGAAAAUUAAAAAUAAAUUGGGAGCAAUAAUA